rnacentral:rRNA from 1 species
UACGAGAGGGGCAAGCGUUGUUCGGAAUUACUGGGCGUAAAGGGCGCGUAGGCGGCCUUCUAAGUCGAACGUGAAAUCCCCGGGCUCAACCCGGGAACUGCGUCCGAUACUGGAAGGCUUGAAUCCGGGAGAGGGAUGCGGAAUUCCAGGUGUAGCGGUGAAAUGCGUAGAUAUCUGGAGGAACACCGGUGGCGAAGGCGGCAUCCUGGACCGGCAUUGACGCUGAGGCGCGAAAGCCAGGGGAGCAAAGCGGGAGUUAGAUGACCCCA